AUUGAACGCUGGCGGCAUGCUUUACACAUGCAAGUCGGACGAGUGGCGAACGGGUGAGUAACGCAUCGGAACGUACCGAGUGAUGGGGGAUAACUGUUCGAAAGGACAGCUAAUACCGCAUAUUAUUCGAGCGGCCGAGGUCGGAUUAGCUGGUUGGCGGGGUAAAGGCGCACCAAGGCGACGAUCAGUAGCGGGUCUGAGAGGAUGAUCAGCAACACUGGCACUGAGACACUGCCCAGACUCCUACGUGAGGCAGCAGUGGGGAAUUUUGGACAAUGGGCGCAACCCUGACGCAGCCAUGCCGAGUGAAUGAAGAAGGCCUUCGGGUUGUAAAGUUCUUUCAGUGACGAGGCGUUACUCACAGAAGAAGCACCGGCUAACUCCGUGCCAGCAGCCGCGGUAAUUC
rnacentral:rRNA from 1 species